CCUACGGGGCGCAGCAGUGGGGAAUAUUGGACAAUGGGCGAAAGCCUGAUCCAGCCAUGCCGCGUGUGUGAAGAAGGCCUUCGGGUUGUAAAGCACUUUCAGUGGGGAAGAAAGCCUUGGGGCUAAUACCCUCGAGGAAGGACAUCACCCACAGAAGAAGCACCGGCUAACUCCGUGCCAGCAGCCGCGGUAAUACGGAGGGUGCGAGCGUUAAUCGGAAUUACUGGGCGUAAGGCGCGCGUAGGCGGUCUGAUAAGCCGGUUGUGAAAGCCCCGGGCUCAACCUGGGAACGGCAUCCGGAACUGUCAGGCUAGAGUGCAGGAGAGGAAGGUAGAAUUCCCGGUGUAGCGGUGAAAUGCGUAGAGAUCGGGAGGAAUACCAGUGGCGAAGGCGGCCUUCUGGACUGACACUGACGCUGAGGUGCGAAAGCGUGGGUAGCAAACAGGAUUAGAUACCCUGGUAGUC
rnacentral:rRNA from 1 species